UGGUCACUGUACUCUCUGGAAGCUGGUACUGGAGGUGUCCAUGGGGCCCAGGGAGCUGGCAGGACUGGAGACUCCCGCACAGCUGUCGAAAUGGAGCCAGCCCUUCAUUUCACUGAGAGAGAAUUCCUGAGAUGUCUUCAAGACGUGUGGACAAUUGGAAUGAGUAACAGGUGUCUCUGAAGCCCUGAAAGGCCUCUCAGCUUGGCAUGG